CUACAGAGGGUGCGAGCGUUAAUCGGAAUUACUGGGCGUAAAGCGCGCGUAGGCGGCUACUUAAGUCAGAUGAGAAAUCCCCGGGCUCAACCUGGGAACUGCAUCUGAUACUGGGUAGCUAGAGUUUUGGAGAGGGAAGUAGAAUUUCAGGUGUAGCGGUGAAAUGCAUAGAGAUCUGAAGGAAUACCAGUGGCGAAGGCGACUUCCUGGCCAAAAACUGACGCUGAGGUGCGAAAGCGUGGGUAGCAAACGGGAUUAGAAACCCUAGUAGUCC
rnacentral:rRNA from 1 species